GGUGCUAAUACCGCGUAAGACCACAGCUUCACAUGGAGCAGAGGUCAAAGGAGCAAUCCGGAUAAAGAUGGGCUCGCGUCCGAUUAGCUAGUUGGUGAGAUAACAGCCCACCAAGGCGACGAUCGGUAGCCGACCUGAGAGGGUGAUCGGCCACAUUGGAACUGAGAGACGGUCCAGACUCCUACGGGAGGCAGCAGUGGGGAAUCUUGCGCAAUGGGGGGAACCCUGACGCAGCGACGCCGCGUGCGGGACGGAGGCCUUCGGGUCGUAAACCGCUUUCAGCAGGGAAGAGUCAAGACUGUACCUGCAGAAGAAGCCCCGGCUAACUACGUGCCAGCAGCCGCGGUAAUACGUAGGGGGCGAGCGUUAUCCGGAUUCAUUGGGCGUAAAGCGCGCGUAGGCGGCCCGGCAGGCCGGGGGUCGAAGCGGGGGGCUCAACCCCCCGAAGCCCCCGGAACCUCCGCGGCUUGGGUCCGGUAGGGGAGGGUGGAACACCCGGUGUAGCGGUGGAAUGCGCAGAUAUUGGGAAGAACACCGGUGGCGAAGGCGCCUUUCUGGACUGUGUCUGACGCUGAGAUGCGAAAGCCAGGGUAGCGAACGGGAUUAGAUACCCCGGUAGUCCUGGCCGUAAACGAUGGGUACUAGGUGUGGGAGGUAUCGACCCCUUCCGUGCCGGAGUUAACGCAAUAAGUACCCCGCCUGGGGAGUACGGCCGCAAGGCUUAAACUCAAAGGAAUUGACGGGGGCCCGCACAAGCGGUGGAGUAUGUGGUUUAAUUCGACGCAACGCGAAGAACCUUACCAAGGCUUGACAUUGAGUGAAAGGCCUAGAGAUAGGCGCCCUUCUUCGGAAGCACGAAAACAGGUGGUGCAUGGCUGUCGUCAGCUCGUGUCGUGAGAUGUUGGGUUAAGUCCCGCAACGAGCGCAACCCCUAUCCUAUGUUACCAGCAUUGAGUUGGGGACUCAUAGGAGACUGCCAGGGAGAACCUGGAGGAAGGCGGGGAUGACGUCAAGUCAUCAUGCCCCUUAUGUCUUGGGCUACACACGUACUACAAUGGUCGGCAACAGAGAGCAGCGAACCCGCGAGGGGGAGCGAACCUCAAAAACCCGAUCCCAGUUCGGAUCGCAGGCUGCAACCCGCCUGCGUGAAGUCGGAAUCGCUAGUAAUCGCAGGUCAGCAUACUGCGGUGAAUACGUUCCCGGGUCUUGCACACACGGCCCGUCA
rnacentral:rRNA from 1 species